rnacentral:rRNA from 1 species
CCGAUUAGAGUUUGAUCAUGGCUCAGAACGWACGCUGGCGGCRYGCCUAACACAUGCAAGUCGAACGCAGUAGCAAUACUGAGUGGCAGACGGGUGAGUAACAUGUGGGAAUCUGCCUUGUGGUUCAGGACAACAUUGGGAAACCGAUGCUAAUACUGGAUAAGCCCUUACGGGGAAAGUUUUAAUGCCAUAAGAUGAGCCCGCAUUUGAUUAGUUAGUUGGUGAGGUAAUGGCUCACCAAGACAAUGAUCAAUAGCUGAUCUGAGAGGAUGAUCAGCCACACUGGGACUGAGACACGGCCCAGACUCCUACGGGAGGCAGCAGUGGGGAAUCUUGCACAAUGGAGGAAACUCUGAUGCAGCGAUGCCGCGUGAGUGAAGAAGGCCUUUGGGUUGUAAAGCUCUUUUGUAGGGGAAGAUAAUGACUGUACCCUAAGAAUAAGGUCCGGCUAACUUCGUGCCAGCCGCCGCGGUAAUUCAAUCGG